UCCCUGGUGGUUUAGUGGUUAGGACUUGGCCCUUUCACUGCUGUGGUCCAGGUUCAAUCCCUGGUCAGGGAA